GGGAAUUUAGCUCAGUGGCAUAAGCACCUGCCUUGCAAGCAGGUGGUCGUGAUUCAAUCCCCA
rfam:Cavia porcellus supercont2_2 genomic scaffold, whole genome shotgun sequence.